rnacentral:lncRNA from 1 species
UAUACCAUUACUAUGUCAUUUUGUUCUUUGCAGAUUGCGUUGAACCAAGCGAUAAAAGCAGCAGAGAAUGGAGAGAAUGGUGAACGAGACAUGUCACUGGACGAUGUGAUUCAAGAACCUGUGCUUCAACGAACACGGAACCGGCCUAAACGUGAAGUUUAAUAUACACACACACACAUAAACAUCUUGUUAAGAUUCUUCAGUGAUCUUGUGACUCUGUAAUACAUCUUGUAUUUUCUAUAAGGAUGUAACGUAAGCUUGUAGCCUUCCUAGUCCCAUCUAUAGUUGUAGUUCCUGGUAAACAUUAUUGUUUGAUCAUAUGUAAAAAAAAGAAAAAACGGACGAUGAAUCAAAUGCUGCAUAUUGCCGUUUAAUUUUUUGAGCA